ensembl:snoRNA U3 Small nucleolar RNA U3
AAGGCUAUACUUUCAGGGAUCGUUUCUGUAGUAUGUUACUAGAGAUAUUUCUCUGGUCAUGUAGAGCACCGGAAACCAUGAGCAGGAGGUGCGGUGCUCCUUCCUGAGCAUGCUGGUACUGCUUUGCUGCAGCUGCCACCUGCCAUUGCCAAGCCUUCUUGCUUUCUCCUUGGAGGGAGCAAGAAGGGAGGUGCACAGCCUGAGUGGC